GACGAACGCUGGCGGCGUGCUUAACACAUGCAAGUCGAGCGGAAAGGCCCUGCUUUUGUGGGGUGCUCGAGUGGCGAACGGGUGAGUAACACGUGAGUAACCUGCCCUUGACUUUGGGAUAACUUCAGGAAACUGGGGCUAAUACCGGAUAGGAGCUCCUGCUGCAUGGUGGGGGUUGGAAAGUUUCGGCGGUUGGGGAUGGACUCGCGGCUUAUCAGCUUGUUGGUGGGGUAGUGGCUUACCAAGGCUUUGACGGGUAGCCGGCCUGAGAGGGUGACCGGCCACAUUGGGACUGGGAUACGGCCCAGACUCCUACGGGAGGCAGCAGUGGGGAAUAUUGCACAAUGGGCGGCAGCCUGAUGCAGCAACGCCGCGUGCGGGAUGACGGCCUUCGGGUUGUAAACCGCUUUCGCCUGUGACGAAGCGUGAGUGACGGUAAUGGGUAAAGAAGCACCGGCUAACUACGUG
rnacentral:rRNA from 1 species